CCUACGGGCGGCAGCAGUGGGGAAUAUUGCACAAUGGGGGAAACCCUGAUGCAGCAAAGCCGCGUGAGUGAAGACGUAUUUCGGUAUUUUAAGCUCUAUCAGAAGGGAAGAAGAAAGACGGUACCUGACUAAGAAGCCACGGCUAACUACGUGCCAGCAGCCGCGGUAAUACGGAGGGGGCAAGCGUUAUCCGGAUUUACUGGGUGUAAAGGGAUCGUAGACGGAUGUGCAAGUCUGAAGUGAAAGGCCGUGGCUCAACCGCGGAACUGCUUUGGAAACUGUAUAGCUUGAGGACUGGAGAGGCAGGCGGAAUGCCUAGUGUAGCGGUGAAAUGCGUAGAUAUUAGGAGGAACACCAGUGGCGAAGGCGGCCUGCUGGACAGAAACUGACGUUGAGGCUCGAAAGCGUGGGGAGCAAACAGGAUUAGAUACCCUUGUAGUC
rnacentral:rRNA from 1 species